GACGUAGGGCGCGAGCGUUGUCCGGAUUUAUUGGGCGUAAAGAGCUCGUAGGCGGCUUGUCGCGUCGGCUGUGAAAUCCCGUGGCUCAACUGUGGGCGGGCAGCUGAUACGGGCAGGCGUGGGAGUUCGGUAGGGGAGACUGGGAAUUCCUGGAUGUAGCGGUGAAAUGCGCAGAUAUCAGGAGGAACACCGGUGGCGAAGGCGGGUCUCUGGGCCGAUACUG
rnacentral:rRNA from 1 species